rnacentral:rRNA from 1 species
GUAGGUGGCAAGCGUUGUCCGGAUUUACUGGGUGUAAAGGGCGUGCAGCCGGGAAUGCAAGUCAGAUGUGAAAUCCAUGGGCUUAACCCAUGAACUGCAUUUGAAACUGUAUUUCUUGAGUACCGGAGAGGCAAUCGGAAUUCCUAGUGUAGCGGUGAAAUGCGUAGAUUUUAGGAGGAACACCAGUGGCAAAGGCGGAUUGCUGGACAGCAACUGACGGUGAGGCGCGAAAGUGUGGGGAGCAAACAGGAUUAGAUACCCUGGUAGUCCACACUGUAAACGAUGAAUACUAGGUGUGCGGGGACUGACCCCCUGCGUGCCGCAGUUAACACAAUAAGUAUUCCACCUGGGGAGU